rnacentral:lncRNA from 1 species
ACUCAACAAUGUUGGUCAGAUGGAAGGAUCUCGGUAACUAUAUUAAUCUGCAUAAAAAUAGAAGAAGCAAUAGAAGAAGUUUGGGGUAGAACAUGGGAGCCUUUACUGAAUAUAAAAAAUUAUCUCAAAAAAGUUCAAGAUAAAUUUUGGCAUUAAGAAGAUAUUCUGCAAAAUCUAGGAUAGGACUAUCAGUAUGACGAUCAAGCAACCUUUGAAGAUCGGGCAUUUUUUAUCUUUGAAAAUCUGGCA